CUUCAGGUAUCUUUGUGACCUGUCAGCUGUGACAACCCCACUUCAUAGCCACGGAAGAACACGUUCCUGUUUAUGGCAAAGCUGUCACCAGUUAAUUGGUGUCUGGUUCUGAUUCACACAGAUAACCUUC